CAUGUCUUUUUAAUAACUUUUCUUUUUCGGUUUCUCUUCCUUUGGAAAACUGUUCUUAUUCUUAUAUUUUUCUAACAAAACAAUAUUUAUCAUUCAGCAUGAGAAACUGGUUUUUAAAAAAUGUAACAUUUUUUGAAAAAUGUUUUUGAAGAUUCUAACGAAACAAUCUUCCAUCCGUUUCCAAAAAUGUAAAAGUUUCACAUUUUUCCGUAGCGCGCCACAUGAAGAUCAUUCAUUCUUUCUCUUUCUAGCUGCAAAAUUUCCACGAAAUAGUCUGUGAACAGAUUUUUAUUCCCCAAGAGAUUUCUGCAGCGUUUUCUUUCUAAGUUGAUUAAGGUUGGCUUAUCCGAUUGCCAUUUUUUUUUUUGGUUUUAUAUAUUACAAUCCUCAAGAUUGUUGAGGAUUGACACACUUUUUUUUUGUGUGAAGACAUGGUUGAAAGUGAGUUUGUGCACCCCCUAAAAACCGGGGUGCACGUUCCUGCUCUCCUCAUUGGUGCAUUUUUCGGUUGGAACCAGAUUUGUUGAUGAGGGUUGGCUUAUUUGAUGAAUACAAUUAAAAUCAGGCCUAUGAUGGAAGAGUAAAUUUUUGAUUACUGAAGGCUAACUAAUUUGACUUUUUCAAGAUAUGGUUCAAAAAAAUAUCUUUAUUUUUCUAUGGUUGUAACGUUUAAUUUUUCACUUUAUUAUUUUAGUGGCACAAUUAUUUUUUUUAAUUGA